rnacentral:rRNA from 1 species
CAGUUCGGACUGUAGGCUGCAACUCGCCUACACGAAGCUGGAAUCGCUAGUAAUCGCGGAUCAGCACGCCGCGGUGAAUACGUUCCCGGGCCUUGUACACACCGCCCGUCAAACCAUGAGAGUUGGCAACACCCGAAGUCGGUAGUCUAACCGCAAGGAGGACGCCGCCGAAGGUGGGGUCGAUGAUUAGGGUUAAGUCGUAACAAGGUAGC